rnacentral:rRNA from 1 species
AGUGAACGCUGGCGGCAGGCCUAAUACAUGCAAGUCGAACGGCAGCACAGCAGAGCUUGCUCUGUGGGUGGCGAGUGGCGGACGGGUGAGGAAUACAUGGGAAUCUGCCCAGUCGUGGGGGAUAACGUAUGGAAACGUACGCUAAUACCGCAUGCGCCCUACGGGGGAAAGCCGGGGACCGAAAGGCCUGGCGCGAUUGGAUGAGCCCAUGUUCGAUUAGCUAGUUGGCGGGGUAAAGGCCCACCAAGGCGACGAUCGAUAGCUGGUCUGAGAGGAUCGAUCAGCCACACUGGAACUGAGACACGGGUCCAGACUCCUACGGGAGGCAGCAGUAGGGAAUAUUGGACAAUGGGGGCAACCCUGAUCCAGCCAUGCCGCGUGAGUGAAGAAGGCCCUCGGGUUGUAAAGCUCUUUUGUCCGGAAAGAAAGCAUUCGGUUAAUACCCGGGUGUUCUGACGGUACCGGAAGAAUAAGCACCGGCUAACUUCGUGCCAGCAG